AGCCCCUAAUUGACGCCCCUGUGUAGUUGCUGUUGUACACAGUACGGCACACAUAUUUACUACAAGUACGCGCGAAGCGCUUGACCAGCAUCUCGGGAGGCCUUUUCAGCGGUGGCCAGCUACCGCAGUCUGAAACACCUGCCAUCUUACCUCAAGCUCUAGCUUAAUAACAACACCUACGUACAAAUGCACACACACACAACACAACAUAUAUCCAACGCUUAUCAGCCCCUGCCCAUAAACUAGAAGGCAGGGUCAACCGCCUUGGACUUGCAGUUCGUAUGGCGUAGUACAGUGUGGUAAUGGUGGAUGGUGCUGUAUGGCGUGAUAAAUCGUAGAAAUGAUCAUGUGUUCAAGUGGCCCAGAAGCCUCCCACUCUGUAACAACAUCACCUUGGGAUGCAUCGGUGGUGUUCGUACCGAGGCCACCAGCCCUUAAUGGCAAUAUUUCAUACCGGACCUGUGGGAACCUGAACGCCUGGCAAGGAUGCUGGAACGUAUAUGAUCCCACCACAACUCUAUCGUUCCCUUUGGUCGUUAGUAUCCUUUAUUACUUGCUUUGUUUGAAAUGCGAGGUAGGAUGGUGCUUGUAGGCGAUCUGGCAG
rnacentral:lncRNA from 1 species